rfam:TPA: Bos taurus chromosome 8, whole genome shotgun sequence.
CCUGGUGGCUCAGACGGUAAAGCGUCUGCCUACAAUGCGGGAGACCCGGGUUCAAUCCCUGGGUCAGGA